UCCACGAUUGCGUCACGGGCUCCUAUGGAACAUGCACGGACAUUGACGGCUGGCCAUACGAGCUACCACCAGCCAGCUAUGGCAGAGAUAGCGACGGCUGUGCAAGGACUACAAAAAAAUCACACCAUGGUUCACCAGUAAGGAUUCAAAGAGGGCCUUACAAGAAGUCCCAUAAGGAACGUGGAAUGAGUUAUGGCUACGGACACUGUCAUGGCGAGGAGUGUUAUUAAUAUCCAUAUGGAUUUCUUCAUUGAACUACUGGGACGGGUUCCACACAGUUUUCUCACUUCUGACCACGGUUUCUGGUAUCACGUGUUGAAGCACUCUUCCAAGCAAAUACACAUGCUCAUUAUAAGCAUAUCUAUGUUAUUAGGCAUGUACAUUCUGCUCUCUUCCCAAGCCAGCGUGGGCUCGUUACGCAGGAUGGCUGCCUCGUCUUGCACAGCAUAAAACACAACCAUCCACCAGCCACUAUACUCCAUGCUGUAGUUUCAUUCUCCUUUGCUCGACCACGAUGACAUGGCAAUAUGCCUACACGUAUGGUUUAAGAAAUUUACGGCGACAAAUAUGUGUGAGGAUCAGUCGUGGCAAGUGAAUAGUAACACAAUGACUUGAUGCAUGCUGUAAACAAAGCACCCAGAAGCUGAAGGCUGGGCACAGAAUAAAUACAUUCCAGCCUACAUGUGACAAUAGGUCACAUGGGACUCUUCAAACUGGCUAUCUACUUCCAUGUGAAGACGGACGCAAAGAAGCCGACCCACGUGGGACGGAACUACAGCUUCUCGUACAGCAUGGUAGCUACGUGUAAUGUUAACACAUUUCCGCAUUGCGGCCUUCAUGCACAGUCAUUGGUCGGUUAUUUGUUGGAACGAAAUAAAUCGCUGCUGGUGCUGUUGA